GAGCCCCUCUGCCUAGCACUGCUCCCCCAAGGCUCCCAGAAAUCUCAGGUCAGAGGCACGGACAGCCUCUGGAGCUCUCGUCUGGUGGGACCAUGAACUGCCAGCAGCUGUGGCUGGGCUUCCUACUCCCCAUGACAGUCUCAGGCCGGGUCCUGGGGCUUGCAGAGGUGGCGCCUGUGGACUACCUGUCACAAUAUGGGUACCUACAGAAGCCUCUAGAAGGAUCUAAUAACUUCAAGCCAGAAGAUAUCACCGAGGCUCUGAGGUGAGAAGCUAUGAGGUGUAUGCCUUUAGGGCUAAGGUCUCAAGGUCUUCUUCCUUCUCAUCCCUUCCUCUCCCCAGGCCCACCUCCUCCUGACCCUAAACCAUGCCAGGGAUUUAGAGAUGGGUGGCGAUCAUUAUUAUGGUGGUGGGGCAUGGGGUGAGAUGGGGAUUCACAGAUGAGGAAUACAGGCAUUGGAUCUUCCUAGGCCAUAAGCAUUCCUUUGGAGUCUCUACCCACAUCAUAUCUCAAAUACUAAUAUUUAGUUAUAGUCCACAUAAAGUGUAAUGAUAUGUAAAACUGAGUUGAGUUGUUGACAUGCUAUUACCUUUUGUGGGCCUUCAAUUUGGUACUUAUUUAUUUCUAUUUUAUAGUUUUAUAUGUUGAUGUAAUGGAUUAUUUUUCUUUCUGCUCUCAGAUAUGUUCAGGUCCCUUGAAAAGCCCCUAGGCCCUAUGACAGUCCAUAGAUGGAUGAAAUUGCUCCAGGGCAAGCUGGGCUGGGACGGGUAUCCAUUCAGGAAGGGAGAAGGCUGAAGGAGGACAGGCUGUCAGGUGGGAGCACUAGUGGAAAGCUCUCCAGAGCAGGGGAGCCAGACACCUCCACAGAGUAGGAGAAGGUUAGAAAUUGCAGUAGAGGGGCUGGGCAUGGUGGCUCACGCCUGUAAUCCCAGCACUUUGGGAGAUCCAGGCAGGGGGAUUGCUUGAGCCCAGAAGUUUGACAGCAACCUGGGCAACAUAAUGAGACCCCAUCUCUACCAAAAAAGAAAGAAAGGAAGAAAGAAAGAGAGAAGAAAAAGAAAGGAAGGAAGGAAGGAAGGAAGGAAGGAAGGAAGGAAGGAAGGAAGAUUGCAGUAGAGGAGGAAGGCUACACCUGAGGGCAAACUUACUCAAAUAAAAGACACUGAAAAUGGGGAGAUGAAGCUGGAGUAUCUCCAUUUCUGCAGAACAGAAGAGAAAGUCCCAGUUAUGAGGACUGGAGGCUGGAGUAACCCUGUCAGCUUCAGGGAUUCUGUGCUAUUCUUGGCCAUGAACUUGGGCAGCAGGAAGUCAAAGAGCAAUCAUCUCCCAGUCAUUUCAGAUUUUCCUGUCCUGGUAGACCCAUCCCUCUCCCUCCUUCAGAGCUUUUCAGGAAGCAUCUGAACUUCCAGUCUCAGGUCAGCUGGAUGAUGCCACAAGGGCCCGCAUGAGGCAGCCUCGUUGUGGCCUAGAGGAUCCCUUCAACCAGAAGACCCUUAAAUACCUGUUGCUGGGCCGCUGGAGAAAGAAGCACCUGACUUUCCGCAUCUUGAACCUGCCCUCCACCCUUCCACCCCACACAGCCCGGGCAGCCCUGCGUCAAGCCUUCCAGGACUGGAGCAAUGUGGCUCCCUUGACCUUCCAAGAGGGAGAGUCCUGGCCCAUGCCGACAUCCCAGAGCUGGGCAGUGUGCACUUCGACGAAGACGAGUUCUGGACUGAGGGGACCUACCGUGGGGUGAACCUGCGCAUCAUUGCAGCCCAUGAAGUGGGCCAUGCUCUGGGGCUUGGGCACUCCCGAUAUUCCCAGGCCCUCAUGGCCCCAGUCUACGAGGGCUACCGGCCCCACUUUAAGCUGCACCCAGAUGAUGUGGCAGGGAUCCAGGCUCUCUAUGGUCAGUCCCUCCCCCUAGUGAGGGGGAGGGUCAGUCUGACUCCCACGUCAAGGCUUGAAGAGACAGGUCUAGCCUCCAUGUAGGGAUAUAGCUUAGUGUCUUUCUUCUCCUCCAGCCCAGUUACUCAGGCUUCUUCAUUUUCAGGAGCAGUUUUUCUCAGACUCUUCUAUGUCUAAUCUUCCUUCCAGGCCUCUCUCCUUACACCCAUGCUUGGGGAUGGAGAAUGCACCUUCUUUUUUUUUUUUUUUUUUUUUGAGAUAGAGCCUCACUCUGUCACCCAGGCUGGAGUGCAAUGGCAUGAUCUUGGCUCACUGCAACCUCCGCCUCCCGGGUUCAAGCCAUUCUCCUGCCUCAGCCUCCCAAGUAGCUGGGAUUACAGGCACACGCAACCACGCCCAGCUAAUUGUUUUUGUAUUUUAGUAGAGAUGGGGUUUCACCAUGUUGCCCAGGCUGGUCUUAAAUUCCUGAGCUCAGGCAAUCCACCCGCCUCAGCCUCCCAAAGUCCUAGGAUUAUAGGCGUGAGCCACCACACCCGGCAAGAAUGCACAUUUUAACAAUCCUCCUUCUCCCUUUCUGGUGUCUCUCAAACCUAGAACGUGUCUCCCGCUGAUAUCAACAUAAUAUUGCCUACCACAAAUGAAAACGCUCUAGGAUUCCCUUUUCCCCUCUGUAUGGGGACUCUGAGCAAAACUUACAGGAGACUGGUGUGGAGGACAGGUGCUGUGAGUUCUCUCCCUAAGCAGCAUUACUUUACCUUAUAGGCAAGAAGAGUCCAGUGAUAAGGGAUGAGGAAGAAGAAGAGACAGAGCUGCCCACUGUGCCCCCAGUGCCCACAGAACCCAGUCCCAUGCCAGACCCUUGCAGUAGUGAACUGGAUGCCAUGAUGCUGGGUGAGGCCCCUCCCCUCCAGGCUGUUGGCAGGCGGUGGGGGCAGCCUGCUGAUCCUGAGGCCUGGACAAAUGGGAGUGACAUGGGACUUCAGCAUGAGCAAUGGAGGUUAGACCCCAGGCAUUAAUGACCAUGGAAGGAGACAUGUGACAUGGGGAGGGAGAGUUCGGAGCCAAAUUAAAGGUGGCUUAGGCAGGCACUUACCAAGGCUGCCACGCUCUAAGGGCCACUAGAACACAUCUGGAAAUGCAGCAAGAUGGAGAAAACUAUAUUACCCAGAUUGCCUGUUAGAGAGGGUGCACCUGGUUGGAAGGACAACUAGGAAGCCACUUGGAGGGGAGGGUGAGGUUCCUAAGGAGGAAUAGCUAUCUGCAGGGCUUUUGUUUUGUUGAGUGGACCAAAGCUGAAACGCUCUGAGCAACAAAGCAUUCUGAGUCCUCUUUGUCUGCCUUUAAUUUUCUCUUUGAAUUAAAGUUGAAUGAAUUUUUGAAGAAUCAGCCUGCAGGGAGAGGGCAAAUUGUUAGUCAGCCUGAGAUACCCCCAAGUUUCUGUCUACUUGACCUCUGUCUUUUUGACUUGUUGACACACCAUUACGCUCAGGGCCCCGUGGGAAGACCUAUGCUUUCAAGGGGGACUAUGUGUGGACUGUAUCAGAUUCAGGACCGGGCCCCUUGUUCCGAGUGUCUGCCCUUUGGGAGGGGCUCCCCGGAAACCUGGAUGCUGCUGUCUACUCGCCUCGAACACAAUGGAUUCACUUCUUUAAGGGUAAGGAGGCUAGUUACAGUGUCUUACUUGAGGAGGGCCUAAUCUUAAAGAAACUAUAAAAGGGAGGGAGAUGAGAAGUUUCUGAAUAGGUGGACCGGAGGAGACCAAAAGCUAUCACCUGAGGACAGAGGUGACUUGUUCUUUCCUCACAUGCUCUCAGGAGACAAGGUGUGGCGCUACAUUAAUUUCAAGAUGUCUCCUGGCUUCCCCAAGAAGCUGAAUAGGGUAGAACCUAACCUGGAUGCAGCUCUCUAUUGGCCUCUCAACCAAAAGGUGUUCCUCUUUAAGGUAUAAAGUUCAAAGCAAGGGCAAAUCCCUUCUUAGGAGGAGUGGGCUACCUUAUACUGAGAAGCAAAGCUUGCGCUUGAAGGGAGAUGUUCUGCAGCUGCAGUGGGCUGGGGGUGGACCCCUGGGGGUCCUAAGCUCUCUCCUCUUCCUCUCCCCUCUCCCCACCCAUCCCAUAUCCAGGGCUCCGGGUACUGGCAGUGGGACGAGCUAGCCCGAACUGACUUCAGCAGCUACCCCAAACCAAUCAAGGGUUUGUUUACGGGAGUGCCAAACCAGCCCUCGGCUGCUAUGAGUUGGCAAGAUGGCCGAGUCUACUUCUUCAAGGGCAAAGUCUACUGGCGCCUCAACCAGCAGCUUCGAGUAGAGAAAGGCUAUCCCAGAAAUAUUUCCCACAACUGGAUGCACUGUCGUCCCCGGACUAUAGACACUACCCCAUCAGGUGGGAAUACCACUCCCUCAGGUACGGGCAUAACCUUGGAUACCACUCUCUCAGCCACAGAAACCACGUUUGAAUACUGACUGCUCACCCACAGACACAAUCUUGGACAUUAACCCCUGAGGCUCCACCACCCACCCUUUCAUUUCCCCCCCAGAAGCCUAAGGCCUAAUAGCUGAAUGAAAUACCUGUCUGCUCAGUAGAACCUUGCAGGUGCUGUAGCAGGCGCAAGACCGUAGAUCUCAGGCCUCUAACACUUCCAACUCCAGCCACCACUUUCCUGUGCAUUUUCACUCCUGAGAAGUGCUCCCCUAACUC
rnacentral:lncRNA from 1 species